rnacentral:lncRNA from 1 species
AAUGGGAUUCUCUCUUCAGCUUCAAGAUGUCACAGUUUUCGGCAUUCUUUUUGCAAUUAUCUGUCUGUGGUUGGUUAAUGCCAAAGGCAACAAGAACAAAGGCAGAAGCCCACCAGAGCCCUCCGGGGCAUGGCCUGUAAUGGGUCACCUUCAUCUUCUAGGAGCAGACAAGCCACUACAUAGGACAUUUGGAGCCAUGGCUGAUGAGUAUGGACCAAUCUUCUCCAUUCGUCUUGGCCUUCGAACAGCUCUGGUGGUUAGUAGCUCGGAAGUAGCAAAAGAAUGUUACACUACCAAGGACAAGGCACUCGCCAACCGACCAAGAUCCUUAGCAGUAAAGCUCAUGGGCUAUGAACAUGCCAUGUUUGCGUUUGAACGUCACGGUCCAUACUGGCGUGAUGUGCGGAGGCUAGCCAUGGUUGAGCUCCUCUCCAACCGCCAGCACGAGAUGCUCAAGCAUGUCCGGGACUCAGAAGUCACGUUUUUCAUCCAAGAGCUCUAUGGGCAAUGGGUAGAUAAUGGAGGCAGCCCUGUUUUGGUGGACAUGAAGAAAAAGUUUGAGCACCUGGUAGCAAAUUUGGUGAUGAGAACAGUUGCUGGGAAACGGUGUGGAAAUGGCGAGUCAAGAUGGUGCCAAGCCCUAGGUGAUUUCAUGAAUCUAAUGGGGCAAUUUAUGGUUUCUGAUGCAGUACCCUUCCUUGGAUGGUUAGACACAGUGAGGGGAUAUACAGCAAAAAUGAAGGGAACAGCUAGGCAGUUGGAUCAGGUUAUUGGAAGAUGGGUGGAGGAGCAUCGUCAGAAGAGGCUUUCCGGAAGCAUCAAUGAGGCUGAGCAAGACUUCAUUCACGCCAUGCUGUCUGUUAUAGAUGAUGCUCAGUUCUCUGGCCAUGACCAUGACCAUGAUACUGUCAUCAAAGCCACUUGCUUGGUAUGUUUCUACUACUUCAUAACACCACCAUCCUCAUGAGCAUCUGCAACUUCAUCAAGACCUUGAUAAUACUCGUAUUACUACAUCAUGAUCUAUUUUUUCCUUCUGCUAUACAGUAUUUCAGGACUAUUGAAGUAACUCUGUUUGUUUCUUUGACAAAAAUUGCCGUGACCAUUCCCUAAGGAAACAGCAGACAGAAUUCAUAAAUUAGGCUGGAAUAUAACAGGAACUGGGAUAAUUUUUUUAUACCCGGAUUCCCCAGUCAUAAUUCUUCUGCCGACACGCUAGACAUACUAUUUCACAAAUGAUGUAUGGACUUUUUUCUUUAAUCACAAGUUCAACAUGGGUGUAAUAUGUUGAUGCAGACUGUCAUGUUGGCGAGCAAUGAUACAAUAGCGAUCACACUCACCUGGGCACUCUCUCUGCUAAUGAACAACCCUCAUGCUCUAAAAAAGGCACAAGAAGAGUUGGACUUCCAUGUGGGAAGGAAUCAGCAAGUGUACGAAUCAGAUAUAAAGAAGCUAGUCUACUUGCAAGCCAUUAUCAAGGAGACUUUACGACUAUACCCUGCUGGGCCGCUUGCACUGCCACAUGAGGCCAUGGAGGACUGCACUAUUGCUGGCUUCCACAUCCAAGCUGGGACUCGCCUUCUGGUUAACCUCUGGAAGUUACACCGCGAUCCCACAAUUUGGUCGGAUCCUUUGGAGUUCCAACCUGAGAGGUUCCUGACAAAGCAUGUGGGUUUGGACGUUAGGGGUCAACAUUUUGAACUUCUACCAUUUGGGUCAGGCAGAAGGAUGUGCCCAGGAAUCUCAUUUGCUCUGGAGAUCCUGCAGCUGACACUAGCCAGAUUGCUUCAUGGUUUUGAAUUGGGCGUGGUUGCAGAUUCACCCCUGGAUAUGACUGAAGGUGUUGGGCUCGCUUUGCCUAAAGCAACUCCGCUGGAGGUCACCCUAGUCCCAAGGCUACCCUCCGAGCUCUACCACUAAAGUAGUAUCCUAAUGUGUGCCACAAAAUCCCCUGGUUAGCCCAGGAAGGGUCUACUCCACUGGAGGUCACUCGGGAUGCGUAUCCGCCUAAAUAAACCUCGAUGAAAAGCCUCACAUACAUCACUUGCCGUCCUUGCAUAUCUACUCAAGCUUUCUUAAUCAGGAUACUUUCUAGGUACCUUGUGUUUGUAAUUUAACUGGAACAUGUUAAAAUUAAGAGUCUUGGGUCUAUUUUGGGAAUGUUUUUAAAAAUAAUUCUUAAAAAUAUAUAUAUUUUUAAACUAUUUUCAAAUUUUGUUUUAUCAUAUUUUCUAAAAUAAAAAUAUGUUUGAAAUUUUAGAAAUUUCUUAACAUGUUUUUUUCUUUUUUAAUUUUCAAAUAUUUUUUUAAAAAUGACCUUCUAUCUCCAAUGCUUUAUUUUCAACCAUUUCUAAAAAUUAAUUAAAUACGUUUUUAUUUUUUUUUAAUUCUCAAAAAUAAAAAUAAUUAUUCUUAAUAACAAUUUGUGAACAUAACUUAAGCUUUUUUUGGAAAAAAAAAAUAGAAAUGUUGAAUUUAAAGUGUUCAAGAAUAACAGGUGAGUGAAUGGAAUGAGUGCGGCCUUUAAAACUCAUCAUUUGUAACAUGAUUUAAGAACUUGUUUGAUAGAGGUUUUAAAAAGCGUUUAUAAUUUUUUUAGAAGUUAAAAAUAUUUCUUUUGAAAAAAAUUUUUAAAUACUAAAAAAAUUAAAAAUACAUUCUAAAAUUAUUAUCAAAUGAAUUUUAAAAAUGUGUUUAUCCAUGUUUUUACUAAACAUGAUUUUUGUGAAAGUAUUUUCUUUAAUAGUCUUUUUCAGAUAAUAAUUUAUUAAGAGUUAUUUUGGUAGUGAUCCUAGAAAGUGCUUUUAUCGUAAAAAGAAGUUUAAAAAAAACCAUUAAAUGUUUAACAGAAUUUAGGAAAUACUAUUCAAAAUUCUAAAACUGCGUCAACGUGAUUUUUGUAAAAGUAUUUUCUCUAAUAGUUUUUUUUUAGAGAAUCAUUUAUUAAGACUUAUCUUGGUGGUGAUUCUAAGAAGUGCUUUUACUUUAAAAAGAUGUUUUUUUAAAAAAACAUUGAAUUUAAGAAAUACUAUUCAAAUUUUGAAAAAUCACUUUUUAGAAAAACACUUGAUUGAUGAUUUUUCAAAAAAUAAUAUUUUAUGAGAAAACAUUGUCAUUAAAAUUUUUUUGAAUAAAAACACUUUUAAGCGCACUCUUAGUGCUAUUUUAAGAGUAUGUUUGAGAGUAAUUAUUGAAAAUAUUUUUAGCAUAUUUAAUGUUUGAAAGAUAAAAAAUUUUAAAUAUUAAAAACAUUUUUUAAAAUCACUGUAAAUGCAAUCUAUGAAGUAUAUUACAAUUGAUUUUUUUAACUUUUUAAAACCCUUGUCUAAAUUUUAUCUAGUUUUUUUUUUUUUUUUGUCAAAACUAUUUUUUUAAGCUAGAACUAGAAGUACUCUGUAACUUUAAAGAAUCCUUACCCAGCCGUUAACGUUUUAAACACCGUAGUUACUAGGCCCUACUCUCAUGCUAUUGUUUAUAUAAACAUGAACACUUUUGUUACUUAGUGCUGGAACGCAUUAGAACUAUAGACAAAACAGAAGAUUCCUUGGUUUUAUUUAGGCACCAAACCCACUCAUUCAAGCAUAUUUAAAUUUAAAUGCAGCCGUCCACGAAUAAACAACAGACCCAUUACCAAGAAGGUGAUCAUCCUUUUUCAGGGUUGGUUCUUCAAAAUUCAAAAUCAGUUAGCUGAAGGAACAGAAAGGAAAAGAACAGAGCUGAAUUUACAGAAAAGAAUUUUUUUUUUUUCUUUUUCUUUUCUAAGGAUCUUGGAAUCCUUUUCCUGGUAUAGGCAGAACAUUAGAGAUAUAUAUAUGGUAGUGGGAAGUGAUUCUUCUGUUGAAACUCCAUUUUUCUUGUAUCCAAUUAUUAGACAGGAAUUGCAUGUUGAAUCAUACGAAGAAAUUAUGCCAAACAUUUCUAUAGAAAGGGAACAUACUGAACUAACUUGAUUCCAUUUUGAGUGUUGAAUGAACAAGGUAUGGAUCUUCUAAGGCUGUGGAGGGCACCAUCUCUUUCUGGAUUCUCUCUGACGAUGGGAGUGGGAGAGAAAACAAGUCUGUUUUUAUUUCAAAUUAUGUGAUUCGAUUGAACAGACACUUAGCCUUUGAUUUUAUACCCUCCUGCAUAGGACCAUACCCUUUGGCUAUUGGGCCUCACGAGUCUUAGGCCCAUCAUCUAAGGCUCGUGAUGGCAAUGGGCUCUACACAUAAGGUGGCCCAUACUAUGGAAAACUGAUACAAAAUAAAUAUCAAAAGGCGAAUAGCUUAGUCAUGUAACAUUGUUAAAUAUGUGUGAGUCCAUAUCUUAACAUCUUCCCCCUAAAACAUUUUCUUUUCUAUUGAGUCAUGGCUUCAGUUUCGAGGGAUCAUCGUUUUUGGCCUUCUGUUUGUGGUUGAUUAAAGCCGAAGGGAACAAGAACAAAGGCAAAAGGGCACCAGAACCAUCCAGGGCAUGGCCUUGAAUCGGACACCUUCAUCUUCUAUGAGCAGGCAAGCCCCAACAUCAAGCAUUUGGAGCAUGGCAGAUAAGUAUGGACCAAUCUUUUGCUUUCAUAUUGGCCCGCGCAAAACUUUUUUGGUUAGCAGCUGGGACGCAGCAAAAGAAUGUUUCACUACCAUGGACAGAGCAUUUGCCACUCGACCCAGAUCCUUGGCAUGAAAGCUCAUGGGCUAUGACCAUGCCAUGUUUGGUUUCUCUCCUUACGGGCCAUACUGGCGUGAUGUAAGGAAGUUGGCCUCGGUUGAGCUCCUCUCAAACCUCCAGCUUGAGUUACUCAACCAUGUCCGGGACUCAGAAGUUAAGCUUUUCAUCAAAGAGCUCUAUGGGCAAUGGAUACAAAAUGGGGACAGGCCUCUUUUGGUCGAGAUGAAGGAGAAGUGUUGGCACAUGGCAACAAAUGUAAUGGUGAGCGUAGUAGCUGGGAAACAGCAUUUUGGCACCAUUACAAACGACUAUGAAUCAAGACAGUGCCGGAAGGCCCUUGGCGAUUUGUUAUAUCUUUCGGGGAUAUUUAUGGUUUUUGAUGCAAAUCCCCUUCCUUGGCUGGUCAGACACUGUGAGAGGAUAUACGACAAAAAUGAAGAGAACAACUAGGGAGAUGGAUCAGGUGCUGGGUGUAGGAAGAGUGUAAAUAAUUUUUACUUUUAUUUUUGGGAAGUGUCCUAUUGAGAAUUAUUUUAUUAUUUUAUUUUAUUUUAUUCUAUUAAUGUUAUAUUUUUGGGAAGAGUCCUAUUGGGAUUGUGCUAGUGGAGUCUCAUUCUUUUUAUAAGUAGAUUCCCCUUCCACUUUGUGUCAUCUUCUAAUUACAAGUAGAUUCUCAUUGGAUCGUGUUAGUGGCCUAUAAAAGCAAGUCACCCUUCUCUCUAUAUGAAUACCAAUUUUUCAGAGAAUUUUUUAGAGUUUUUCAGGAAGUUUUUUUCACACAUCCUUCUGGAGGAAUUUAUUCAAAACCCAAGUUGUACACAUCUCGCUUACAGAGUGCACCCAAGGCGGGAUCUGAUUGUUGAAUACUAGAGGUAGAUCACCGGUACCCUAGUGCACCGAGUUCGUCUUCAAGGAGGGUGGAUCUAUUUCAAAGACAGUGGUUGUCACGAUAAAUUUUUCUUCUUAUUUAUUAUGUUCUUUGUUUGUCUUUUGGGCUAGUCUUUUGUUUUCAUACCCUUAAAUCCAACAAUCUUGAAAUAAAUCUAAAUGGAAGCUUCCCUGGUUCACACCUGUCCUAACACCUUUAAAAUUGAUCCCUUCAAAGGAACAUUCUUUAAGAGAUGGUAAGAAAGGGUUUUCUAUGCAAUUGAUGUAGUGAACUUGGGACACUUUUUGACUGACUUAAAACCUUUGAUGCAGUGUUGGUAAGUUCAGGAGUAUCCUUGAACUUGUGGGGGGAAGCUCUCCUAUCCAUUUGUCAUAUUCAAAAUAGAAGACCUUACAAGAAAUUCCUAGGUUCUAAGUUUGAUAUGAAAGUCCUAGGAGAGGUAGAGGUGAUUCUAGGAAUUAAAAUAACUAGAACAUCUAAUGGGCUUAAACUUUCUCAAGAUCAACACUAUGUUGAGAAGAUCCUAAGGAAGUUUGAACACUUUGAUUGUAAACCAAUGUCAACUCCUUAUGAUCCCAGCUCACAGCUAAAGAAAAUAGAGAACAUAGUAUUACCCAAAUAGAGUAUGCUCAGAUCAUAGGAAGCCUAAUGUACUUAAUGAACUGUACCAAACUUGCUUAUGUAGUAGAUAGAUUGAGUCGGUACACCCAAAGUUCUAAUUAGGACCAUUAGACUAUUGUUCGUAGAGUCCUUAAGUAUUUGAGAGGCACCAUUAACUAUGGUUAGUGCUUUAAUGAAUUUCCAAGUGUCCUUGAAGGAUUUAGUGAUGCAAAUUGGAUCUUAGAUUCAGAUGAGAUGAAAUCCACUAGUGGAUAUGUUUUCAUCCUUGGUGGAAGUGUUGUUUCUUGGAAGUCUGGCAAGCAAACUUGCAUUACUCGAUCUACUAUGGAGGUCGAGUUUAUUGCCUUAUAAAAGACAAGUUCUAAGAUUGAGUGGCUUAGAAACCUCUUAGCAAAUAUCCCUUUAUGGACGAGACCAACCCCGUCUGUGUCUAUGCGUUGUGAUAGCCAAGCUGCAAUUGCUAAGGCUAAGAGUAAAAUAUUUAAUGGGAAGAAUAGACAUAUACGCCUAAGGCACAAUAUUGUGCGACAGCUGCUUGAAACAGGGGUUAUAUCCCUAGAAUUUGUGAGGUCAGAGUUGAAUUUGGUUGAUCCUUUAACCAAACCACUAAGUAAGAAACUAGCGGAAGAAACAUCAAGGGGGAUGGGGCUUUUGCCUAUUACAGAAGUCAAGAGUGGUGGUAACCCAACCUAUUAAAAUGGAAAUUCCAUGAAACAGGUUCAUAUGGGUAAUAACAAAUCACUCGUUGACUUGAGGGGCUCUAUCAAUUCUAAUUGUAUGAGAGUUCAUCCCUAUGGUGUAGAUAGAGCGUAUUCUGCAUUGACUAAGGUUGAGUGUUUAUGAGAAUAUGUUUUAGUCUUUUUCAUUUAGUUUUAAAAACCAUUUUAAAAAAUAAUUAUACAAAUAUGAAAAAGUAUUAAAAAUAAAGCACUAAGAUAAAAAUUUAAAAACAUUAAAAAUGGUCUAAAAACAUUUCUAUGUCCAAAACAGACUUUUAUUCACAAAAUAUCAAUAACGAUUUUUUUUUAAAUAAAAAAUAAAAACUAUUUUUGAAAACUAUUUUCAAAAACACUUUUCAAACAAAACUGUAAUUUUUGAACUUCUUCCAAAGUCAAUAUCUGUUGUUGCUGCAAUAGAUGUUUCUUCAUCAAGUAAAGUUUAUUUUGAAUGUCUGCUAUUGACUUGUUAACAUAUUAUAAAACAAUUCAUCUUGGCUUUCAUAGUGAAAUCACAAGGAUUAAUUAGAAACCAAUCAUUUGUAUAAGGUUGCAAGCCCUUAUGAUUGAUCCAAAAUUUGCAUUUUUCUUUCCCACAAGGUGAAUAUAGCUUUGGCAACAAGCAUAUGAUCGUGAAUGAACCAUCCAACUUCAUAUUAAAAUAUCUUAUAUUAAUAGAGCAUCCAAACUGAUGAGGGCACGACUAAAAAAUGGAAUACAAAUCCUAUCCAAGUUCCAAUUGGUCUAGUUACAAAGGCUCAAGCUAAAAAGUUAAAGGAAACUCUUAAUGGAUUGAUUCAAAACAUUUGGGUUGAGUUGAAUUUGUGGAGAACCAAGGAAGAUGUUCCACGUGUUCCACAAGGUUGGAUUUCCAUGAUUCAAGCUUUUGAAUAAUCUAGAAGAAUCUCACAAAAAGAACAGCUCACAAAUUCCGUGGAUUGAGUGGAGUUUUCUAAAUUGGUGAUUACCCAAUUACCUUUUCUAGCUAUUUGUGAAUCCUAGGCAAUAUAUUUAGGGAUUUUCUAGCUACCUAAUUCGUGGACCUCUUUGUACUUAAAUAUCCAUUAGCUUAUUGAAAAACAAUGUAGAUUUCAUUCAUAAUUUUGUGAGAGAAAAUUAUCUUUGGUUCUUUUAGAACUCUUUGAACUUAUCGGAACAAUUUCUGCAUAUGCAACAACCAUAGAACAUAUAUGGAUACUUAUUCAUGAUCUACAAUAUGAAAAGAGAGUUUAUCUUUCUUUACUUUUUAGCAAUGUGACACUAUGUGGACCUAAUCAAAUUGAUGAUUGUUCCCAUAUUGCAUUAAAAAACUAAAUAUUUCUCUAAAAUAGUUAUGGCUUAUUAAUCUCCUAUACCCUUUGAAAUUAUCAUAUGUAGCACUUUAAUGCUAAUGGGCUUGCCCUAGUAAAAAAGAAAGCUUGAAGGAUCUUAUCAUGCAUCUCAAUGGUGGUUGGAGUCAAAGGCUUGUUAAGAAGAAAUUGAAAUGCAAUAAGUACCCCAUUUUGUUUAUUUAAUAGAUGAAGUCAAAUAAGAAUAAUUGGGAAAGUCAAAUAGUUGAGCUUGGAGAUGAAGCAUAGAUAUUGCUUUUAAUUGCUUGAAGAUGAAUUCAAAAAAGUGUUUGAUGUUUCAUCAAUGAAAUGACUUGAUUUCAUCAUCAAGAGAGGGAUUGAAAUAGACCUAGUAAACGUUAAGUCAUAUUGGUCAAUAAGAAAAAUCAAAGAAUUGAGAGGUUUCAUCGAACAAUUCCAAUUUAUAUGAUGGUUCAUAUUUAAAUAUUCCUAUUGGUGUGAACUUUUCUAUGAACUCUUGAAAGGAGGUUGGUUUUAGAUGAGGGUGGGGAAAGGUGAUGUCAAUAUACAUUUUUAUAUUUAAAGGUAGAAGAAGAAAUUUUCCACUUUCCUAAAUUCUCUCCUUGGCUUUAUUAUGACUCCCUCUAAACCCUUCAUCCUCUAACAUCUCAUUUGGCUUUAUUGGUGAAGUGAGGAUUCAAAGGUUUAAGAGUAGUUGCUUAGCCCUUGUCAAGAAAUGUUUUUAAAAACAAUGUUUGAGAAUAGUUCUUAAAAAAUCUAUUUAAUUAUUUUCAAAAACAAAAUUCUAUUUGAAAACCUAUGUAUAACACAAAAAUUCUCAAAAAGAUUUUUAUAUUUUCAAUUGUUUCUGGUAAUACUUCACAAAAAAAUAUCUCAAUUUUUUACUAUUUCUUUUAAAUAACAUGUUUUUAAAAAUAAAUUAUCAAAAAACUGUUUGGUAAAGCAGUUAUCAACCAUACUUUUCUAAGUUAAAACACUAUCUUAAAAAAAAAAGAACAAUUCUAAAACAAGCCUUACAUUUCUUUUGUGUCUAUUUUUUAAUUUAACACUAGAAACUUUGAUUGUGUGAGGGUUUCUUUCUUCAAAUUGGAUUCAUAUUUUUCUUCCUCGCUUGACAAUGAUGAAUGGUGUCUUUGACACAUUUCCUUCUUAACAAUGACAAAUGUCUUCUCCCCACUUCUAGCUAAUCAGAGAGACUAGAGGAAAAAUAGUUUGUUUCAGGGAAACCUUAGUCAUCCUAAUGUUACUAAAGUCAUCCAAAAGAAAAUGUAGCGUAUGAUUAGGCAAAUUUGUUCCUCACUCGAACUGUAAUAUGAUCAUCCUUAGCCCUCAAUAGAUUUGGAUUUGAAUGGAUUACGUUUAGAUUAUGAAUAUCUACUUCUCAGAGUGUUCUAGUGUAGAUAGUUUUGUGUCAUCAUGGAAUCCUUUUCCUAGUAGACUAAUGGUGCAAUAGAAGUAUUAUGUGUGGUAGCAAGGGAAGUAAUUCUUUCAACUAACCUAUUUUCUAUGCUAACAAAUAGUAUGGCAUUCUUCUUUCAACUUCAAGAUAUGAGAGUUUUUGGUCCUCUUUUUGCUAUGAAUUUCCUGUCUCUAGUUGUUUAAUUCCAAAGCAAACAAAAACAAAGGCAAAAGGCCACCAGACCUGUCUAGAGCAUCACAUUUAAUAUUUAUUGGUCACCUUCAUCUCUUAGGAGCAAACAAGUCGUUACAUCAGACAUUUGGAGCCAUAAAUGAUAAGUAUGAACCAUUUGUGUUUGUCUAAGCUUUAUGUCAUGACUCACCAUAAAUAAUGUCCAAUGUACAUAUAAUCAUAUAUACAUUAAUGCUCUUACCAUGAGAAACCCAUCCCGAUGACUAAGACCAAUCAUGUCUCUAUAACAAAAUAAGGUUUAGAACUAAUGAUUAUAUUUCAGGUAUGAUUAGACAAGACGAUUUCCAAGGUGGCAAUCAUAAAAAUAAAUCAAGCCAAAGAGAAAUCAUUAAGAAGAAGAAGACCUCAAAGAGAAGUGUUUUUCAAGACCCAACCUUCAUAAGAUCUCUUUGUAAAGUUGUUGGCGCACUAAGAUUUUCAUGCAUUACAUUCUUUACUUAUGCACUAAAAUCAUUCAAGAGUUAUUUUAUUUUAAAUAUUUUAAAAUUGGAUGAUUUCAUGUUUUCAACUAAAACCUUGUGUCAAAUGUUUUCCCAACUUGUUUAAAAGAUUUUAAGUUGAAAAAAUUGGUUGUUGAGCCAAAAAUGGCUCAACCGAUUGAACCAGAUGAGGAAUCGAUCGACUCCCAACUCAACUGGUUGAGGGGUACAAAAAAACAUUCUCUCUCUUCCAAAACGGUUGUGCAACCGGUUGAGGUCCGGUCAAUGGGCGAUCGAGGUCCAACGGUCACCUGCCAAACAUUAAAUGCUAACGACUAGUCAAUCGAUCUACCCCCAGCUCAACCAGUCGAACCCCUAAUGGCUAGUUUGGUUUUUUUCCUCUAUAAAAAGGCUCCAAUCUUCAUUGUUUUAAGAGCUUAACCUUUAUUAAUCUUUCUUGAAUAUAUUUGAGCCUUAGGAGAGUGUUUUUGAGUGCACCAUUGUUCUAAAACUUGCAUAUCAUUAGUGCCUCAUUCAAUCCUAGUUUUCUUGUAACAUUUAAACCUUAAAGUUUUGUACUAGGAUUUUGUGAGAUUCUUUAUUAUCUUCAUUUGUAAAUCUUUGAGAGAAAGAAUCUAAGUAUGAGGUAUCACUUAGGAAUUCUCAAGUGUGGGGUAUCACUUGAGAGAUUGUUCAAGAGUGGGGUAUUUUUUUACGUUUGAAAAUGGUGGAUUGGAAUCAUAAUCUAAUUGUAUUGCUUGAAGGCUUGGUUUAGAAGCCUUGAAAUAGUAGAACCUCAAACUUGGGAUUGAAGCUAGAGGAGAGUGAACGUAGGCCGGGUUGCGUUGAACCAUUAUAAAAAUCUUAUGUUUGCAUUUUCUCUUCCCUACUCUCUUAAUUUAUAUGCAAUUUUUUUUAUAUUGUUUUAUUAUAUAUUUACAUAUAAUUAUAUCUUGUAUUCACAUAAUUUAAAUUUACAAAAAGAGACCAUCACCCUAUUCAUCCCCCUCUAGGCUGAUUACUAUAGGUUGGAUUAACCUAAUUUUUCUAACACAUUAUCCAAAGCAACCAUGACGUUAUUAUCUUUUGAACUCUACUUCUAUUAGCAGCAGCAUUAAAAGUAAUAGCCUAAUGUGUGCAACAAAGUCUUCAGGUUAGUUCAGGCACUAUCUACUCCAACAUAGAAAGUGGGAAAAAAUGUGUGCUACAACCUUCCCACUUAGUUGAGGCACUGUCUACUCCUUAAUUCUGAACCAUUCAGUCCAAACGGGCAUCCACCUUACACUUAGGUAAGGCAAAGCUUCUCAAUAUUAUCUAUGUAAUGUGUGGUGUGUGGUAAAGAGCAUGCCAAACUUAAUAGCUAAAUCAACCCCAUUUUCAUGGGGCUAGAUUUACUCCCGCGUGAUUUUCAAUGAACAAAUAUGCAUCAUAACAACUGGCCAAAGAGAUGGGUUUUUUCAUACUCAGAACUAUCAUAUAUAAGACUUCGAAGGAGCUUUCACAUUUUAUAUCAUCGACAACUGUCUAUAGUUUCCAUAUUAGGAUGGCACAUGUAUGGAACAUGAAUUCGACCUGUGAGUGUUCUAGUGUGUGUAGUUUUGAGCCCUUUUGGAGAAGUGAUUCUUAGUUAUAAGAAGCACUCACAGAAAGUGUGACCAGGGUAUGUAUAAAUAUCCAUGUUCUGAACAGAGAAAACUGUGAAAACAGAAUAGAAAACCAUUUUUCUCUCUCCGACCCUCUUUCUUUUCACUCUGGUACUAUCCAGUCAUGGGAUUCUCCCUUCGCCCUCAAGAUAUCAUAGUUUUUGGGCUUCUUCUGUCUACAAUCUGUCUGUUGUUGGCAACAGUACUUAAUGCCAAAGGGAACAAGAAGAAAGGCGAAAGGCCACCAGAGCCGUCCGGGCGAUGGCCUCUUAUCAGUCACCUUCAUCUUCUAGAAGCAGACAAGCUGCUACAUCGAACACUUGGAGACAUGGCUGAUAAGUAUGGACCCAUCUUUUGCGUUCAUCUUGGCCUCAAAAAAGCAUUGGUGGUUAGUGGCUGGGAAGUAGCGAAGGAAGGUUACACUAUAAAUGACAAGGUAUUCGCCACUCGACCAAGACCCUUAGCAAUAAAGCUUAUGGGCUAUGAUCAUGGCUCGUUUGUCUUUGCUUCUUGUGGACCAUACUGGCGUGAUGUGCGGAAGCUAGCCAUGGCUGAGCUGCUGUCAAACCGCCAGCUUGAGAUGCACAAGCAUGUCCAGGACUCAGAAGUCAAGAUCUUAAUAAAAGAGCUUUAUGGGCAAUGGGCAAGCAACAAGGACGGCCCCGCUUUAGUGGAGAUGAAGGAAAGAUUUGGGAACUUGGCACUGAACGUAGUGGUGAGAGCAAUUGCUGGGAAACGGUAUUUUGGGACCCAUGCCUGUGGUGAUGAGCCAAAACGGGGCAAAAAGGCCUUUGAGGAUUUCAUUAUUCUAGUGGGGCUGUUCAUGGUCUCGGAUGCCAUCCAUUUUCUCGGCUGGUUGGACACGGUGAAAGGGUUUACCGCUGAAAUGAAGAGAGUAGCUAAGGAGGUGGAUUAUGUGCUUGGAAGCUGGGUGGAGGACCAUCGCCAGAAUAGGCUUUCUGCGAACGACAAUGGGGCUGAGCAAGACUUCAUACAUGCCAUGCUUUCUGUCAUAGAUGAUGGCCAAUUCUCUCGUCGUGAUCCUGACACCAUCAUUAAGGGCACUUGCUUGGUAUGUCCCUGCUACUUCCAUAACCUGAGCAUGAAAUGAAAAGAAAGAAAAAAAAAAAGCACCAUCUACUAUCAUAAUUUCUACAACUUUUUCCGCCCAAUUUCCUAAACCCUCCUCACAUUUCUAUAAGGAUUCAUCAAAUCCGGUAUAGCUUUAUCAUCUGUAUUUAUCAUGACAAACCAGGCGGGGUGAUCAAAUUUCACUUAGAUUCCUUAUUCACGGUUUGUUUUAUCAUUCUGCUAAACAUGAUAUUUCACUACUGAUAAGUAAACUUUGCCUGAUCACAUAUUGAAGUCGACAUCAUAUGUUGAUUGCAGAACCUCAUAUUAGCUGGCUAUGGAUCAACAUUUAUCACUCUUACAUGGGCCCUCUCUCUCCUAUUGAACAACCAUCAUGCGCUAAAAAAAGCAUAAGCAGAGCUGGAAAUCCAUGUGGGAAAGCAUCGCCAAGUGGAUGGAUCAGAUAUAAAGAACCUAGUCUACUUGCAAGCCAUCGUCAAGGAAACAUUACGACUGUACCGUCCUAGGCCACUUUCCCUGCCACGUGAGGCCAUGGAAGAUUGCAUUGUGGCUGGCUUUCACAUCCAAGCUGGGACGCGCCUUUUGGUUAAUCUCUGGAAGUUGCAUCGUGACCCCAGAGUCUGGUUAAACCCUUUGGAGUUCCAACCAGAGAGGUUCCUGACAAAGCAUGCAGGUUUGGAUGUUAGGGGUAGAAAUUAUGAACUUCUACCCUUUGGUUCAGGUAGAAGGGUAUGCCCAGGAAUCUCAUUUGCACUGGAGUUGACGCAUCUGACGCUAGCCAGACUGCUUCAUGGUUUUGAAUUGGGAGCGGUUGUAGAUUCACGGGUGGAUAUGACUGAAAGUCCUGGGUUGACUGCCCUCAAAGCAACCCCACUGGAGGUCACAAUUGUUCCAAGGCUACCUUUCGAGCUCUAUAGUUAUGAAGUAGCAUAGAAAGCAAAUAAUACUCUUAUGUGAGCCGGAGAGUCCCCUAAUUAGCCCAGUGCUUUAGUUUAGGGUAUAUUUAUGUUGGUGUGACUGACUUUGAAUUGUCGCGGUGUAAUGGGUGUUCUCCUUUCUCAUCUUCUCCUCAAUUUUCAUCCACUUGGAUAGUAAUAAAUUUCCAUCUAUGAGUAUUUCUUUUUGCAUACUUAAAAUAUCUUAAGCCUGUUUUUGAGGGGGAAAAAACCAUGUUUGAGACAAAAGAAAUAGAAAAUGCAUGGUUUUAUGUUCUACGUAUUUUAACUAUUUUUAUUUAUUUUUAAAAAUAAAUAUAAAAAUGACAAAAUAAAUAAAUAAAUAAAGUACUAACAUAAAAGUUAUUUAAAAAACAUAAAAAAAUAUUUCAAGUUCUAAAAUAAAAUUUUAAUCAUAAAACAUCAAAAACAAUUUUGAAAAACAAUUUUGAAAAACAAUUUUGAAAAACAAUUCUCAAAUAUCAUUUUUCAUAACUAUUUUUUAAAACAUUUCUCAAAUACAACCUUAAAUUUUGAACUCCUUCCAAAACGAAGUUUCCAUGAUGCUGCAACUUAUGCUUCUUCAUCAUUUGGAGUGCCUACUGUUGAGGCCUCGCGUCCUUGGUGAUCCACGUAGUUGCCAAAUGGGUGAACGCACGAUCUCAACCAAUAUAGAUUCUUGAUUCAAUCGUACUACCUGCAAAAGGCGUCCGGACGAGGUGUCCGGACGCACCCUCCGAUGGUUUUGUCAGCCAUGAUUAGAGAAAUAGAGAUAAAUCAGUUGGUCUUUUACCAAGUAUAGCAAGCUUACUUUCCUCUUUGUGUGAAGGUUCAUAUAUAUAGUAUCAGAAGCUUUGUUUCUCUCUUUAAUCGUAGGGAGAUAUUUUGUGUUGUCAUGAUGACACUAGGUGGUGGCAGGGUCAUCAUCACCCUACGGGCGGCUGACAGAUAUCGUGGUAGUUGCUGCAAUUGUUUGAAAUAGUGGGAAGUGAUCGUAGGAAGUGACUUGCCGUCACUUCAUUCUUGUCCUUUCACCCUGCAGAUGGCGGAAUGUGGGUCAUGGCAGGCUGUUGUGAUAACGUGUAAGACUUGCUUACUUCAGUCAAUGAUCCGGACAAACACACCCGGAUAGUGUAUGUCGGUCGUCCGGAUGUGCUGUGGCAGUCGUCCGGAUGUUAUGUUUGUGAGUGUCGUGUGCCUUUCCUUGAGAGAGUCCGGAUAGGAGAAGCGCGCCACGUGUACUCUUGGGGAAAUCCGGAUGAGGCUGAUCCAGAUGAGAAUGUGUGCCACGUGUUAUUAUGAGAUGUGUGCCACGUGUGGGGAGGGGUCCCUACACCUACUCUUGACUUAUUAACACAUGAUAAAACAAUUGAUCCUGAUUUUCAUAGAAAAAUCAUAUGGAUUAAUUGGGAAAUAGUUAACUGUACAAAGUUGCAGCCUGCAGGCCCUCAUGAUCGACCUACACUUAGCAUUUUCUUUCCCACAAGAUGAAUACAACAUUUGGCAGCAAGCAUAGGAUCAUCAUGAAUGACCUAUUGAACUCAAUAUUAUAAUAUCUUAUAUUAACUGAGCAUCCAACCCACCACCACAACUUAGACAACUUUAAAAAAAUUAGAAUCCAAUUACUAUAUUAUUGGUAGAAGACUGGAAUCAAAUGCUCUAAAUUAAUUUCCCUUAAGCGGACAAGAGGUUUUACAUGUUCACAUAUAUGCCAUACAAUCUCAUGGAACACUUUCUAAUAUAACUAUCAGAUUCCAAAAAUACAUUUGGCAAUGUUUUUACUAAAAGUGGUUUUUGUAAAAGUAUUUUUUCUAAUAGUCUUUUUCAGUGAAUCAUUUAUUAAGAAUCAUCUUGGCAACCGUCCUAGGAAAUGCUUUUAGCAUAAAAAAAAAGUUUUUAAAAAAACAUCACAUAACCAUAAUGGGCCAAAAUGGGCUUCUUUAGAAACUUAAUAUUAAAAGUGGGCUUCUUCCCAAACUAUUGUUCAAACUAGUCCCCAUCAAUUCACAUAACCAUAAAAACCAUCUUUUUUUAUACUAUUUUUGUUUACUUUCUCAGCUUUCCAUCCCAUUCUCUAUUCCCUGUGUAAUUUUUUUCUUCAAAACCCUAGCCCCACCAAUGGGCCACUGUGAAAGAGACAUUGUUGGAGCUAUAAAGUAUCAAGGUUGAGGUUGGUCCCAAUCUUCUUUUUGGUUUGUUUUAUGUAAAGUUUUUGGCACUUUCCCAUUUUUUUCCCCAUCUCAAAAUCUCGGUUUUCAGAAAAUUUAUUUAUUGUUUCCCAUUGCUUUUGUUUUUCUCUUUUGUUUACGUCCUUCACGACUAUUUUAGCAUACAGAUUCGUGAUUCUAAUAUAGAGGUUAUGUAAGAUAAAAUGGACAGAUCCUUCGUAGAAGGAUGAGUCCAUAUCACCCGAGGUUUGCUUUACCACAAGCUAAAAUAAAUGCCUGGUGUGGACCCGCAUCUUUCACGUGCGCCCCCACUCGAUCGGCGAGACUCGCUUUUUAUUUGUGAAAAAUUAAUUUUAGAAAAGUUGGAGUCGCCACUUAUUUUAUUUUUAUUUUAAAGGGAAAAUAAAACAAGAAAGAAAAACCCUAAAAAUGUGACUCCAUAAUUUUUGGAAAAAGCAUGUCUUUGAAAAACCCGAGUCUAAGUCCGGGGAUCAGGUUACCUAUUGGGAAGGUACCUCUAGGAGGUAGCACCCCUCUAAGCCCUAAAGAGGUCUCUACUGACUAAGUUAAGGGAAGCGUAGCAAUUAAAUGGUUGAUCAUGGAUACUUAAGUAGGCUAGGUGAUUCCAAAAACAUAGCAUAUCAAACAAGAUCAAAUCACAAUUAAGGAGAGUUAAAAAUGCGUACCUGGACAGCUUCCUAAACGCUAUCAUAAAACAUAAGAGAUUAAUUUGGAGAUACAUCAUACAACAUUUGUUUUAUUCAAGCAAAUCAGGCAUAUAUCAAGACAUCCAAGAAUCACGUCAAAUAUGGAUAGGGUCAUCAAUGACAUACAAGUAUAUAGAGUUCUAAAAAAAAAUAGAUGAGAAGAGAGCAUACCUGGAUAGCAAGCUAGUACUCCUCUAUGGGAAUCAAAAGCAUCUCAACAAUAAAUACGAAACGAAUUCAUGUAUAUCAUCAAGAAGAAUAAAAAAUCAACAUAUCAAACAAACAAUAUUGAAGAAGGUAUCAUGAAUGUCGGGCCCCCACCAAAGCCCUAAUUAAUUUCGCAUGAGUUGAUUCCAUGAAUUCCAUGACUUGGAAUUAUGGAGUUUGUUCAUGCUUAAGAAAAUUGAGAAAAAUCAAGAAAAUCAUUUGAAAAUCAAAUAAAAUAGUGAAAAUGCAUGCUAGAAGGAAAAUGGCAGCAAGAGUGUGUUAGAAUAUGGAUUUUAUACCUAGAAAGGACCUAAGAUGAAUUUUUCAAAGCCGGGAAUGUUUAGUUGAACAAUGGUUCAAAAAUUCAAUUUAAAACAGUAAAUUCCCAAGCAAAGAAGCAAGAAAAGGGGAAAGUGUGUGUAGCAAGGUAGCCAUAAUGGACUGGAGCCUAGGAAUGAGAUUUGAGACUAUCUUGCUGGUGUUGAAUCCCCAAAUACAUUCUGCCAUUUCUCUCUCUUGGCACUUUCUAGGGCUUCUUGGCGCAACCAACUUUCCCUAUCCAUGUUUUCCUUGGAUCCAUGAGCUCAAAUUGAAGCAGUUAUUGAAUGGAGAUUCUGGUGGGCAUUUGAUGUCAAAGAUAUUGCUGGAAGAGAGCUUGAGGGCUUCAUUUAAUCAUGGGCAACAGUGGGAACUGACAGGAAAUGACAAUUCCAGCUCUUGCUUAAUUUGGGGCGACUGCAAGUAUUAGUACUCAAGUGCCUGCUACAAUUUUCUCCUUGAUCAUCAAAAGCAAUGCUGAGCUUAGUACGACUUUCAGGAUCUAAGCUUGCAAUUCCUUAAAGAACCUCGGUCCCCUUUCUCUUCUCCAAAUAACAUAGAGAGCACCAUGUACUGUUUUGUGGGAUUUCUGUAGAGCUUUCUUGUCUUCAUCAUCAUUUGAAACUGCUGUUCGAAUCAUGAUCUUACACCUAAUUGCUGAAUAUGUAAAAAAAAGUAGCAAUACUCUUUGAAACUGCAACCAACAUGAAAACUGAGGGGGGAGAAAGGGUUUAUGGGGAUGAGCCUUUAAGUGAAACCUCUGAAUUUGAAACUUGUAUCUGCUCCUUUAUUCUUUUCUCUGUUUCAGAAUUUUGUUUAUCAUUCUCCUUAGUGAGGUGUUCUUUUUGUGCCAUAACUCCUUCAACAUCAGGUUCAUUUUGAGUGAUGUUCUUGUCAAUCUGGUCAAAUGUUGCAGGUCCCAAUGCCUAGGCAGUUCCUUUCUCAAACUCAGAAAAAUAUCCAUAUUAAUCUGCAUUCUCAUCGUCCACAUUAUCCAGAGACUCUGUGUUAUCUUCCUGCAGAUCAGAAGACAACUCCGGCUCCUUCUCUCCACUCUUCAAUCGCAUCCUCAACAUUAUGGUAAAGGUUGGCUUGGGUUUUCCGGAUGGAUGAAGAAUCUUGCUAAGGCAAUUGAGUUUUGGAUUGAUCAUUGAUGAGUUUCCCGUCCAUAGAUGAGUCACCCACCAAUAUCUCCAUCUCAGAAGUAUCAUUGGGAGGUAAGCCAUUUACAGGUGCAAGGUUAUUGUGAAUAUUACUGCUAUUAGAGUUCUGGUGCCGUUGUUUCUUAAAUCUGCAGCCUGCAUGUCAUCCUUUAGUUGUGUCACAAAUUCUGUAUUGAGCACAUGAUCACUAGUGAAGUCAAAAUUUCCAGAUCUCAAGACAUCUUCCCCUGGUGCCUCUAAAUCCAUGUCAGCUUUCUCUUCAUUACUCUUCCCAGAUCACCCCUCUCAGAAUUUCCAUCCACUUGUCCAGAUUCUGCCUCUUCUAGAUUUUCAUUCCUGGGAGAAGUUUUACCACGGUUUGAAUUGGUGCUCAUACUCUGAAGUUGGAAUUAUAGGUUGAGCAUCUCUGAUUUCAUCUUUUCUACCUACAGAUUAUGAUGACAUUUCUGCUCUCUAGAUUCAAGGAUAAACAGCGACUGUACAGUCUUCCAAGCAGCUCUUUUCUCCUUCAUUAAUGCCAAGCAACCAAUGAGUGACCUCAAAAAGCUCUCCAAUCUGCCAGUCCAUCUCUUGCAUGGAUUAAAUUAUCUGUAGUGGGCAAAUACAUCCCCAUCUCUCUGACAAGUGCCUCUAAAAUCAAAGAAGAAGUUUGACCGGUCAAUCAUAAAUAAUUUUAGUGCACUUCUUCUCAGGAAAUAUCUUCUGCUAAAUAUUUGGUGAAGGGAAGACAUCAGCCAGCUUCUAUCAUUUUCUUUGAUCUCUAAUUUCUGAACUGCAAUCCAACCCAUCCCCAUUGCACUCAGUAUUAUCAACUAUGAAAUUGAUUCGUCUUGUUGUUAUUUGAGAGAUUCUUCGUACAACCCUUAGUGGUCGGACCAUUCAUGAAUGAAGCUUAAGAACAAUUCUUUCAUCAAGUUCACUUAGAACAUAUCUAGGGGCGACUGCUGAUGGACCUUGGACCACAUCUUGGUUAUUAGCAAUUGGAGUAUCUAUUUAUUCUGUUGAUGCUUGCGGGGGCUGAUCAGUCAUUCCAGAUGACUUUGGUUGAUUCUUCCUAUUCUGCUCCAUAUCAAUUGCCUCACUCUCUGCCAAAUUAUCAAUAUUUUCUCGUUCAUUCUCUUCAUUUAUUCCUUCCAUUAAGAUUGCUUCUGCUGCAAGUCCAAGCUUCCUGCAGGGGGAAAACCACUGGCUUAAGUUAUCCCUUCCUCUUCCACUGACAAUAAAAACUAUAUUUUUCUUGUCCCAGCAAAGUGUGUUUAGAAUUGAAAUAACCUCCUGACUUGGAGCCUUGUUGAUGGAAUUUUGGGGCAUCACAGUGCCAUCAUAGUCCAACAGUAUGGCCCUACUCUUAGCCCUACAGUAGGCCGAAACAAUAGCCUCUAUUGAAAGCUUUCUAAAAUUAGGAUCAAGUGCUACAACUCUGAACCCAAAACUUAAACCAAUUCCCCAGCAUCUUCUCCUAAAGAGCUCUGAGCAGGUUCUCUCCAUAUCUUGCAAGAAGCUUCGUGACCAAUAAGCCACAUCAUGGGUGCUAACAUACCGAAAAUGCUUCUCAUGUCGCAGGAGUUGCUCUGAUUGAGACAUUGAAAUAGCUUCAUUCAUUGCCUCAGCAGUUGCUUCGACAUUCCAUGGAUUCACACAGAUAGCCCCACUAAGUGAAGGAGAGCAUCCAAUAAAUUCUGAUAGCACUAGCAUGCUCUUCUUGGGCCCACUCAAAUCCGAACUUGAUUCAGAAUCAUCUGUUCCUUGUCUACAAACAAUGUAUUCAUACGGCGUAAGGUUCAUCCCAUCCCUGACAGCCGUGACAACAACACACUCAGCAAUACUGUAAUAGGCAAUUCUCUCACUGAUUGAAACUGGUCUGUCAACAAAAACUAUUGGUUCAUACCCGGGCUCCCCAAAUUCUUCAUUGAUUCUUCUGCAGCUUUCCCUUAUUUCAGCUUGUAUUUCCUCUAAAUCUGCUCCUUUACCUCUUGCAGGGUUUGCAAUCUGAACCAACACGGUCUUUCCUUGCCACUUUGAGUGUUGCUGAAGCAACUGUUCCAUUGCCAAUAGCUUCAAAUUAAUACCUUUAAAAAUGUCCAUAUCAUUAACACCAAGCAACACCGUUUUCCCUUCAAACUGCUGCUUGAGCUCUCCUACCUUCUUCUCCUUAUCUGCAAGCUUCAUCACUGAAGCAAUCCGGCCCAUAUGAAUCCCAACAGGCAUAAUCUUGAUCCCCACAGUCCUUCCAUAAUAUUCCAACCCUAUAUAGCCCCUCUUUGACUGAUACUCCAAACCCAACAUCCGACUGCAACAAGAAAGGAAAUGCCGAGCAUAAUCAAAUGUGUGGAAACCAAUAAGGUCUGAGUUAAGCAAAGCCUUAAGAAUUUCUUCUCUGACAGGAAGAGUCCUGUAGAUCUCUGAAGAUGGAAAUGGACUAUGAAGAAAAAACCCCAUUCUUAACUGGUUAAAGUGCCUCCUCAAGAAAGUUGGCAAUACCAUCAAAUGGUAAUCAUGAAUCCAAACAUAAUCAUCAUCUGGGUUUAUCGCCUCAAUAACCUUUUGUGAGAAUAACUUAUUUGCCCACACAUAUGCUUCCCACAUAGACCGAUCAAACCGACCUCCAUGAUCAGCUGAAAAUGGCAACAUGUAAUGGAAAAGCGGCCAUAACAACUUCUUGCAGAAUCCAUGAUAGAAUUUCUCUAAAACAUCAUGAGGCAGAAAAGUAGGGACACAUUUGAAUGUCUCCAACAGAAUCUGGGAUACUUCCUCUUGUUCCGUCAAGUCAACAUCAACCCUCAAUGACCCAACAUACAGAACUUCCAUGUCUUCUGGCAAACCCUCCUUAAGUUGCAGAAGCAAUGAGUCUUCAUUCCAACUAAAAACCCAGCCUCUAUCAUCUGCUCUUCGGUUAGCUUUCACAGGCAACUGGUUUGCCACUAUAAUCAACCGAUCUUGAGCAACUGAAGAGGGGUUAUCAGACGACACACUAUUAGCCUGAUCAUCAUCAAGUUCAUACACAUUGCCCGGAACCGUCAUUACCCUCGGAAGCCGCUUCCGUUCUCGACCGAUUGCCGGAAAAUUCCCAGUAGCUAAAUCUAAAAGAUUGGUAUACGAUCUUGACAUCAUUUUUACACCAGCCUCAAAAGCCCAAGAUUCUUUUUCUUUUUAAAUGGACAAUUUCACCCAAUCUGCAGAACCACAAAACAAUCAAAACCCUAACCCUCUGUUUCUGAAUCAAUGAACAAUUGAAUCUUCUCUUGUUAAAGCUUUGAUCUUUAGAGUCAAAUGCAUGUCAAUUCUUGGGCUUAGAACUUUUCUGAAGAAGCAAAGAUUGCUUCUCUUUUCUGAUUCCACUCUGUUCUCAGUGCAUGCUGAAAGUCCCCUCUUCUCUAUGCCUCUCCUCCAAACCCAAUGGAUUUUAAAUUUUGGGCAGUCUUGGCUGCAAUCGCUGGGCUUCCGGCUUUCCUCUCACCUCUAAAGACAACUCCCCAGAUAAAAAUCCUCUUUUGCCCGGUCACUCCUUCUUCCUCCUUCCUUCCGAAAUCCUCCCAUGCCUUUUUUUCUCCCCACUUUUUUUUAUAUGGCAGCCCACUCUUGUAGAAUAUUUUACUUCCUUUUUUUGUUAUACGCGUGGAUAUGGGAAGUCUACAUAUGUGCAGCUUACUUGGAGAUUUUCCAAGGAUGCAGCCCCUCUCUCAUUUGGUAAGUAAUCAGAUUCUCUUUAAUCUUCUUUCCAUAUGCUCCCGGAUGUGCCUCAGCCGUGAUGUGCCCACUUUCUAUAUGCAGCCGUGUACGUCAAAGAUCUUCUCCACUGUGUGCAUUCAAAUCUCAUGCCAAAAUAAAAUAAGAAUUAAAAGCAGUAGAGGUUAUGAAAUUGAGAAUUAAAACUAAUAAAAAAAUAUAUGCAAUCAAAAACAAUAUAUCUAUCAUAGCUACACACAAACAAAUUAAGACAUCAGUUUACGCAAUUAAUGACAUCAAUCUCAUGCAAUAUUCUAUAAAAUAAAUAAAUAAAACAAAUAACUAACUAAAUGUUAAUAAAAUAAGUAGAUAAAUAAAUGAAUAGGAAAUCAAGUACAUACAAGUGUUAAAAAAAUGCAAAUCAUGCAAAUUAUGUAAGUCAUGUAGGAAUUACCGCAACGGUGACAUGAGAGGGCUAAGAUACCUAAGUGGAUCUAGUGAACCUAAAUGGGCCUAGAUGUGCCUGAAUGAGCCUAGGUGAAUCUAAGUGGGCCUAGGGUGGUGCCUAAUGGGUCAAGUGUAUCUAAAAGCUAUCCCAAAAAAAGCAAGAAAAGCCUAAGUCUAAGUUAGGGCUGCCAAGGGUCACAAUAAGGGGUAAGAUAAUCCCCUAACCAAAGUCCCCGAGGUGACUCAGAAAAAGGUAAGUUGUACGAGUAGUAAUGGACCACCAAGGAACUAUUUUGAAGCACUGAAAACGAACUUAAAGUCAUGUGCUAAAAGGACAAAAUUGAGGGUCUACACCUGGGUGUUGGAGGAAAUAGCCUAAAAAAAAUAAUGGGUAAAUAUUAGUGCGAGUAAAUUUCAUCAAAAAAAUAUUUUUUUCUUCCUCCCUAUUUUUAAACAAACAACAACUUUCUAAUGAGCAAGCAGACUAGAAUCAAAGAUGAAUGAUAUUCUCAUUGACUAUUUAGAUAUAUACCAUGUACCAUUCCUAGAACCCCCACAUACAUUUUUAUUCUCACGAUUAGUACAGUCACCCAUCUCUUUAGACCUACCAUUAGUGCAACACCCUACUUUUUCAGACCUACCAUCAGUGCAACCCUCUACCUCUUUAAACCCACCAUCAGUACAACCCUCUAUUUCUUUAGACUUACCUUCAGUUCAGGCCCCUACUUCUUUAGACCCACCAUCAACACAACCCUCUACUUCUUCAGACCCACCAUCAGUACAACCCCCUACCUCUUUAGACCUACCUCCAUUACAACCCCCUAGUUCUUCAAACCCACCAUUAGUGGAGAUUGACACAUCUACUCAGUUAGAUUUACUGUCAGCCAUUCCAAGGGGUAGGCAAGGCCUACAUCAACCUAGAUUGCUACCUCCACCACCACCUCUAUUUCCAGCUCCAGCCCCAUCACAGACAGAUGUUCUUCAUGUGUCACAUGUAGUACCUGCUAUAGUUAGAGAAGAGUGUCCAAGAAAGAGAGUACCAGUUACACAUAGGUUUUCUCCUUGUGGAGACAUGUGAGAUUAUAUAUGUUUUUUUUUUCCCACUAUAAUAAUGUUUACUGGGUAUUUUUUAUGACUUUGAUUAAAUUACUAAAAAUUACAUUUUGUAGUAGACUUCUUCUAAUUAAUUUCAUUAGCUAAUUUUGUCAAAAAAUCUAUAUAUGACAAAUGUGGAAUUUGUCAUAAUACAAAUAAAUUAAUAUCUUAAAAAACAACAAAUUAAAUAUCUUAAAUUAAUAAAUUAUACAAUUUUAUAUAUUAUUUAUAUGUUAUAUAAGUUUAUUAUUUUAAUAUUAUUAAUUUAUUAAUAAAUAAAAUAUUCAUUUAUAAUAUCUUCUAUUUAUCAAUUUAUAUUUGUUGAAGUAAUACUAUAUUCUUAAGUUUAAAUAUAAAUAAUUUAUUAUUAAAGUAUAUAUUUUUAAUUUUAAUAAUAAAUUGUAAUUUAAUAGUUUUUAAUUAAAUUUGAAAGUAAAAACAAAUUAUAAUUGAAAUCUUAGUUAGCAACUACUGCUUAAAAGUAUGUUAUUAUUUCGAUAAAGAUAAAUUUUUCAUAAUACAAAUAAAUUAAUGUCUUAAAAAAAACAAAUUAAAUAUCUUAAAUUAAUAAAUGAUACAAUUUUAUAUAUUAUUUAUAUGUUAUAUAAAUUUAUUAUUUUAAUAUUAUUAAUUUAUUAAUAAAUAAAAUAUUUAUUUAUAAUAUCUUCUAUUUAUUAAUUUAUGUUUGUUGAAGUAAUACUAGAUUCUUAAGUUUAAAUAUAAAUAAUUUAUUAUUUAAGUAUAUUUUUUUUAAUUUCAAUAAUAAAUUGUAAUUUAAUAAUUUUUAAUUAAAUUUUAAAUUAAAAAAAUUAAUUGAAGUCUCAAUUGACAAUUGCAAUUUUAGUUCAAAAAUGAAGCCGUAGUUGUCAAUUGAGACUUCAAUUUAAAAAUGAAUCAUCAAUUGACAACUGCAGCUUUAGUUCAAAAAUGAAAUCUUAGUUGCCAAUUGAGGCUUCAGUUUAAAAAUGAAGUCUCAAUUGGCAACUACGGAUUUAGUUCAAAAAUGAAGUCUCAAUUGUCAAUUGAUGUUUCAGUUCAACAAUGAAACCUCAAUUGAAAACUGUGGUUUUAAUUCAAAAACUAAAGCCUUAGUUGAUAACUGCGGCUUUAGUUCAAAAAUAAAGUCUUAGUUGUCAAUUGAGGCUUUAACUAAAAUGAUGAAAAAAAAUAUUUUUUAUAACAUGGCAUCUACGUGGGACCAAAGAGACCAAUUUGAACAUAAAUUUCAUAAAGUUGUUAGAUCCUUUUUUAAAAAAAAUAAAAUUGGUCAAUUUGACCCAAAACUCCUUUUUCAGGGUUGUUCAAAAUUCAAAAUCAGUUAGCUGAAGAACAGUAAGGAAAAGAACAUAGCUGAAUUUGCAGAAAAGUUUUUUUUUUUUCAUUUUCCUUUUUCUUCUAAGGAUCUUGGAAUCCUUUUCCUAGUAUAGACAGAACAUUAGAGGUAUAUAUAUGGUAGUGGGAAGUGAUUCUUCCCCAUAAAACAUUUUCUUUUCUAUUAAGUCAUGGGAUUCUAUCUUCAGCUUCAAGGGAUCAUAGUUUUCUAGCCUUCUGUUGCUAUCAUCUGUUUGUGGUUGAUUAAGGGCAAAGGGAACAGAAACAGAGGCAAAAGGGCACCAGAACCAUCACCGGCAUGGCUUUAAUCGGACACCUUCAUCUUGUACGAGCAGGCAAGCCCCAACAUCAAGCAUUUGGAGCCAUGGCAGAUAAGUAUGGACCAAUCUUUUGCUUUCACAUUGGCCUGCGCAAAACUUUGGUGGUUAGCAGCUAUGAAGUAGCAACAGAAUGUUUAACUACCAUGGACAAAGCAUUUUCCACUCGACCUGAUCCUUGGCAGGAAAGCUCAUGGGCUAUGGCCAUGCCAUGUUUGGCUUCUCUCCCUGCGGGCCAUACUGGCGUGAUGUAAGGAAGCUGGCCUCGGUUGAGCUCCUCUCAAACCGCCAGCUUGAGUUACUCAACCAUGUCCGGGACUCAGAAGUUAAGCUUUUCAUCAAAGAGCUCUACGGGCAAUGGAUACAAAAUGGGGACAGGCCUGUCUUGGUCGAGAUGAAGGAGAAGUGUUGGCACCUGGCAGCAAAUGUAAUGGUGAGCGCAGUAGCUGGGAAAUUUUGGCACCGUUACAAAUGACUAUGAGUCAAGACGGUGCCGGAAGGCCCUUGGCGAUUUGUUAUAUCUUUCGGGGAUAUUUAUGGUUUCUGAUGCAAUCCCCUUCCUUGGCUGGUUGGGCACUGUGAGAGGAUAUACGGCAAAAAUGAAGAGAACAGUUAGGGAGGUGGAUCAGGUGCUGGGAAGCUGGGUGGAGGAGCAUUGCCGGAAGAGGUUCUCUGGAAGCAUGAACGAGGCUGAGCAAGACUUCAACCAUGUCAUGCUGUCUGUUAUUGAGGAUGGUCAGUUCUCUGAUCAUGACCAUGACACUGUCAUUAAGGCUACUUGCUUGGUAUGUUUCUUCUUCUUUCCUUGGUCAAAUUCCAUGAACCUCCACACACUUAACAGCAAACCUCCAUCAUGAUUGGUUUUGUCCAGCUGUUACACUUGCUAUUUCAGGACUGAUGAUUAACUCUCAACUUUCUUUGAAAAAAUUUCUGGGAAUAAUGAAAACUAUGAUAAACUUUUAAAUUGUUCUACUAACAGCCAGACAUACGGUUUUUUAACACACGCUGAUCAAAGAAGCCAUAUCACCAGCUCAAAAGACCAGCAUGGAUGUAAUGUUGAUGCAAACUCUUAUAAUAGGCGGCUCUAAUUCUACGGUGAUCACACUGACCUGGGGCCCUCUCUCUGCUAAUGAACAAUCCCAGCACUCUAAAAAGAGCACAAGAUGAGUUAGACAUCAAAGUGGGAAAGCAUCGCCAAGGGGAUGGAUCAGAUAUAAAGAACCUAGUCUACUUUCAAGCCAUCGUCAAGGAAACAUUACGACUGUACCCUCCUGGGCCACUUUCCCUGCCACGUGAGGCCAUGGAAGAUUGCACUGUGGCUGGCUUUCACAUCCAAGCUGGGACGCGCCUUUUGGGUAAUCUCUGGAAGUUGCACAAGGACCCCAGAAUUUGGUCGGAUCCUUUGGAGUUCCAACCUGAGAGGUUCCUAACGAAGCAUGUGUAUUUGGAUGUUAGGGGUCAAAAUUUGGAAUUUCUGCCAUUUGGGUCAGGCAGAAGGGUAUGCCCAGGAAUCUCAUUUGCGCUUGAGGUCGUGCAUCCGACUUAUUUAAGAUCAUACAUCAGUUGAUUAUGAUCAUCUUCAUCGAUCAAAUAGAGUUCAUAUGUUGAUGCCUAUGUCGUUAUUUGAUUUGAUAAUUUUUCUUGCUUCUGCUUCAAAGUUUCUUGUUUGUGUUGAGCCUAGCUCAUAUUUUUUAGUCAACUCAGGGUAAGGGAAAAACACAAAUGGGAUUUGUGUUUUUUUUUUUUUUUUUCCACCAGCAGAAUGGUCUUAUUUGGAAGCUUGUACAAACAUAGCUUUUUUAUAUAACUAUGGGGCUAGCCACACUCCACAUGAUUUUCAAUGUACAAAUAGGCAUAAUAACAACUAGCCAAAGAGAUGGUUUUUUUCAUACUCAGAACUAUCUUAUUUUAGACUUCAAAGGUGCUUCAUAUUUUCUACCAUGCAUUGAGAGCCGUCUAUGGUUUUCAUAUUAGGAUGGCACAUGUGUGGAACAUGAAUUCCUACUUGUGAGUGUUCUAGUGUAUGUAGUUUUGAGCCAUUUUGGAGAAGUGAUUCUUCCCCCUGAUCCAUUCUCUCUGGUACUAACUAGUCAUGGGAUUCUCCCUUCAGCCUCAAGAGAUCUCAGUUUUUGGGCUUCUUGCUACAAUCUGUCUGUUGUUGGAAACAGCACUUAAUGCCAAAAGAAACAAGAUCAAGGAAGGCAAAAGGCCACCAGAGCCGUCCGGACAAUGACCAAUGGCUGACAGAUUUUUUUUCCUUUUUUUUUUUAAAUUUAAGCAAUAAGCUUUGAUGAUCUGAAAGUUUUUUGCUUCUUCAAAUUGGAAUUAUAUGUUUUUACAUUGCAUUCAUAUCUGAUACUCGUAAAGUGCAUCUUCUUCUUUUUCUUCUUGUUUGUUGUUUGAUUAUACUUUAAUCUUCAUAGAAAUCGACAUUUUCUCCCCCAUCAACUCUAGAGCUAAUCAGGAAGGUAGAACAGUUCUUGGUUUGCAGACCUCAGAAAAUCAAUUAGCUAAACAAAAACAUAGAGAAGAAAAAGAGGAGCUAAAUUUGUUGAUGUUGUGACAAACUCUCCCACCUUCUAUUUAGCGAGAAGUGAUAUGGGAAGUGAUACUGAAUCAAGUUUACAUUGCUGGUUUGUCGUGUGGUUGUGCACGAGAUUACUAGUCAUCGUCCUCCAUGCAGAGUGAGGUGUGCAUGAGAGAAUGCUCUAAUAUCUUCCUUCAUCAGGCGAUUGUGCCUACAUAUGGUUCCUUUUUAUGCCUGGAACUGGUACUUUUAGUCCACUGAACCUGUGUUAGUACCAGAAAUAACAACAUGACGAUACCUAUCAAGAAAAAUAUAAGUGACCAAGUGAGUAGACCGGCUCCCUAAGGAUUCCUCGUAGGUCUGGCAUACUUAUAUUAGACUUUCAGAGAUAAAUAAGUAAAGAGAACUUGAAACACUACGUAACAUCGAUCAAAUCAUAUUGGAGAUGAGCUUGUAAGUCUAUGUAUUGUGUGGUAGGUAAAGAGGAGGCACAACUUGGGCUGAAAGCACCCGAACUGAACUUUCCACUAACUCAUUUUCUCUUGAGCGGCUAAAAAUUGGAUCAUCAAGAGACUGCCUCAAAACCUGACCUUAACCAGUAUUAAAAUAUCAUGAUAUUUUGACAAUAUAUCGUUAAAAAUCGUGUAUAGGUGGAUCUCGACACGAAAUAUAGGGAAGAAAUAUUGGCACCUCGAUAUUUCGAUAAUUUAUUGAUUUUUCACCAAUAUUUUGAUUGGUCAAACUUCAAAAAAAUUCAAAUUUUCUACUGCUACUGAGGGGAAUCCAACCCUAGCCAAAAUGUUCACCAACCACUGAGACAUCUUCCAUUAAUAUAUUAAUUAAAUAUUAAAAAUCAUAUAUAUAUAUAUAUAUCAUUAUUUAUUUUAUAUUAUUUAAUACAAUUAAAUAAAAUGGAUUAUAAAUUUAAUUUUAAUAUUAAAUAUAUUUUUUAAUAAUCAAAUAUCACAAUAAUAUUCAAUAUAAUUUAAUAAUAAAUAUACACUUAUAAAAUAUAUAUUUAUUUAUUCUUAUAUAUAAUAUAAUUAUCAAAUAUGAUAAAUUAUAUUAUGUAUAAAAAAAUUUAAUAAAAUAAUUUUAAAAUAUCUAUUAUACUUUUAAUAUUUUUAUUUUUGAAAAAAAUCACUUUAAUCAAUUUUAUGUUUAUCAAAUAUUUUAUAUUUUAUAUUAAAAUAUCUAUCAAAAUAUAUUCAUAAAAUAAAAUUAUCAAUAUAUUUGUUAUUAUGAUACUUUCAUCCUUAUCCUCAAUCAGACUUCCAAAAAAGGUACCUCAGUGCGAAUCUACCUUAAGAUCGGGCAAAAUGGGAAACGUGGGUAAAAUGCGAAUCUACCAACCCAUGGGCCAUGGCACUUGCGGAAAAGGCUGUCAGCCCGGGACCACGCUUGUCAGCAACGUCAACGACAAAAUGAAAAGUUAAAAAGGCAAUGAACUAAAAAAGGAAAGGAGGAGGAUGGUAAUCCUUCAUUGACAAGAAAGGAAACGGAGAAGAACUAGAUUUUUGUAUCUCCAUCUUCUAAUGGGAUUCUCUCUUCAGCUUCAAGAUGUCACAGUUUUCGGCAUUCUUUUUGCAAUUAUCUGUCUGUGGUUGGUUAAUGCCAAAGGUAACAAGAACAAAGGCAGAAGCCCACCAGAGCCCUCCGGGGCAUGGCCUGUAAUGGGUCACCUUCAUCUUCUAGGAGCAGAUAAGCAAAUACAUAGGACAUUCGGAGCCAUGGCUGAUGAGUAUGGACCAAUCUUCUCCAUUCGUCUUGGCCUUCGAACUGCUCUGGUGGUUAGUAGCUCGGAAGUAGCAAAAGAAUGUUACACUACCAAGG